rnacentral:rRNA from 1 species
AUUGAACGCUGGCGGCAGGCCUAACACAUGCAAGUCGAGCGGAUGAAGGGAGCUUGCUCCUGGAUUCAGCGGCGGACGGGUGAGUAAUGCCUAGGAAUCUGCCUGGUAGUGGGGGAUAACGUCCGGAAACGGGCGCUAAUACCGCACACGUCCUGAGGGAGAAAGGGGGGGAUCUUCGGACCUCACGCUAUCAGAUGAGCCUAGGUCGGAUUAGCUAGUUGGUGGGGUAAAGGCCUACCAAGGCGACGAUCCGUAACUGGUCUGAGAGGAUGAUCAGUCACACUGGAACUGAGACACGGUCCAGACUCCUACGGGAGGCAGCAGUGGGGAAUAUUGGACAAUGGGCGAAAGCCUGAUCCAGCCAUGCCGCGUGUGUGAAGAAGGUCUUCGGAUUGUAAAGCACUUUAAGUUGGGAGGAAGGGCAGUAAGUUAAUACCUUGCUGUUUUGACGUUACCAACAGAAUAAGCACCGGCUAACUUCGUG